GAUGAACGCUGGCGGCGUGCCUAAUACAUGCAAGUCGAGCGAACAGAUAAGGAGCUUGCUCCUUUGACGUUAGCGGCGGACGGGUGAGUAACACGUGGGUAACCUACCUAUAAGACUGGGAUAACUUCGGGAAACCGGAGCUAAUACCGGAUAACAUUUGAAACCGCAUGGUUCUAAAUGGAAAGAGGGUUUUGCUAUCACUUAUAGAUGGACCCGCGCCGUAUUAGCUAGUUGGUAAGGUAACGGCUUACCAAGGCAACGAUACGUAGCCGACCUGAGAGGGUGAUCGGCCACACUGGAACUGAGACACGGUCCAGACUCCUACGGGAGGCAGCAGUAGGGAAUCUUCCGCAAUGGGCGAAAGCCUGACGGAGCAACGCCGCGUGAGUGAUGAAGGGUUUCGGCUCGUAAAACUCUGUUAUUAGGGAAGAACAAAUGUGUAAGUAACUGUGCACGUCUUGACGGUACCUAAUCAGAAAGCCACGGCUAACUACGUG
rnacentral:rRNA from 1 species